rnacentral:ncRNA from 1 species
CUCUGAAUGUUUGGUGUAUCUAUUCUCGUACUGCCUUUAUGUUCGUAUCCCUCAAGAGCAACGCAUAUUGUUGAAUUUUGCAAGAAUCUAAUUUAGGGAAGGUCAGUAGUCGAGAACAAAACUACUUACCUCGCCUAUCUAAACUUCCCAUAUUUCUCGCAUCAUAUAGACGCCAUAGUGGAAGUAUGAAAUACCUUUUCUUUCUUCACUUCUUGAUUGUUUCGUGCAAUGGAUUCUCGUUCCUUUUCUUCUUCGUCCUGCCUGGAUUGUUCAGCAAAAAAGAACUUUUUCACAUGAAGCUCACACGUAUAUGCCCGGCUCGUUCAUGUUGUAAGUUGACAGAUCACAACAAAGCACCUCAAAGAUAUUCACGUCACGAGCGUUAAAAGAUUAUAACUCUUCACCUCAAAGUAACUAAAUAUAAUACGACAGGAGUUACUCUUGAUACCUUUCUCGUAGCAUGUAUAGAUAAAGGUACUUCGUAGGCUUCGUAGUUUAUGAGAUAUUUCGGUAUUGUAAAAAAAAAUUAAAGUAAUGUAAAAAUUUUAUAAUAGUUUAUUAUCUUUAUAGAUUUAAAAGGUGAAAAUAACAAAAGUUAAUUUAAAAGUUUUCAUUUUGAAAGGUCGACGCACAACGUAACAGCACGCUGUAUGGUACCGUUAUUUUCUGCGUCGACAUUUUCGCGCCUAAAAGUGCCGUAUGGUGUCGUUAAUAGUUAGUCAUUUUUGACGUCAUCUUUUUGUUUUUCGGACUGUCGAAUAUCCAUGUAUCCGCACAUUUUGGACUGCUGCGAACAUGGCUGCCAUGUGCUUACCGCUGACGCCCUCGGUAUGUUAGCGAGAUGUUGAGCCCGUGACUCUCUUGUGGUAGCCAAAUGCCUCGUCAUCUAAUUAGUGACGCGCAUGAAUGGAUUAACGAGAUUCCCACUGUCCCUAUCUACUAUCUAGCGAAACCACAGCCAAGGGAACGGGCUUGGAAAAAUCAGCGGGGAAAGAAGACCCUGUUGAGCUUGACUCUAGUCUGACUCUGUGAAGAGACAUGAGAGGUGUAGCAUAAGUGGGAGGCCGUGAACCCUCGCGGUUGUGUCGUGCCGUCAGUGAAAUACCACUACUUUCAUCGUUUCUUUACUUACUCGGUGAAGCGGAAAGCGGACCAUGAGUGUCCACGCUUCUAGCACUAAGUGCAAGGCCCUUCGUUGGCCCGCACGAUCUGUUCCGAGGACAGUGUCAGGCGGGGAGUUUGACUGGGGCGGUACAUCUGUCAAAUGGUAACGCAGGUGUCCUAAGGCGAGCUCAGCGAGGACAGAAACCUCGCGUAGAGCAAAAGGGCAAAUGCU